ACAAUUGAGGCACAGUUUCUGAAAAGAAUCCAAGGAAACACCAAAGUGUGGGAGAGCCCCACAUUUGCUAUAAAGGAAAAUGAUGUGCCACAUGUUCCUAAAAGUGAUGUGGUGAAGAAGCUGCCUCCACCAUAAGGCUUGGAGGAACCACAGAGAGAGAGCAACUCUUCAACUUCCCCUGUAACCUUCAGGGCUAGAAUGUAGAGUAGGCCAAGUUUUAUAGUAUGACACACAGAAUAUAAGGAACCAGCAGAGGAAGGGUGGAAAGCUGAAGGCAAACUUUCUUGGUUGGCGUCUUAUCCUCUCCGCCACGCUUCACUAUGUGGAUCAGUAGGGUCUAUGUAUUGGCUACUCUGGUUAUCUUGGUGUGGACUGCCCUGUCGCUCCUCCAUCUACCCGUGGAAGGACUCCUCCGGUAUUUGGCGGUAGAGCUCCUCAGGCUCCAUUCCUAGAAGCCUGGAUUUCCACCGGCAGCUCUACACCUCCACCAGGACAUCGCCCUCCAGCCUCGUCUGAGGUACAUCAAUCGUGGGUCUCGGCAGGGUUUCCACUCUGGCGGCUCCAAGGGGAUUACCUCUUUCUGGUCCUCCACUCGCCACCCACACAGAAACACCGGCCGGUCUGUGGACCACAGGGUGUUAGCCGGUUGGCUAGCACUCCACACAACAUCACGGACGUCAGCUUCGGUCUGCUUAACAUCAGAUCCCUCUCCGGUAAAGGACAUCUCAUCCAAGAUAUCCUCAUGGACCGUAAGUUUGACUUUUGACUUUCUAUGGUUAAAUGAGAUGUGGCAAGUCCCUGGUGACUUCUCCCAGUUAAAUGACUCCUCUCCGCCAGGGUUUGUUUACAUCUGCAAACCUAGUGAGUCGGGUCUUGGGGGAGGUCUUGUGAUAUUCUAUCGCUAGAAGUGGAAGGUCCUGCCUGUUUCUGUGCCUCCUCUCUCCUCACUGGAAUGCCUGGCAUGUCAGCCACCCGCAUCUGUCCCCACAAUCAUCGCCACAAUUUACCGUCCUCCCAAACCUCAAAGUGACUUUUUAAAUGAAUUUUCUGUCCUCCUUACUCCUCGCCAUGCUCCCUCAGGUCCUCCUCCUCCCUCCACCUCUCUGUGCCCUCUGCUCGGCUCAGCACCAUGGGGAGCAGGGCUUUCAGUCGCUCUGCUCCCAAACUCUGGAACUCUCUCCUCCCGGAUCUCAGAAACAUGGACUUACUACCCCACUUCAAAUCAAAACUCAUAACACAUCUGUUUCAAAUUGCAUAUUCUCUCUGUCUGCCUUCAUACUUCUAUGUUGUUUUAAUUUAUUUUAAUUGUGCUUCUGUGUUUUCAAUGCCCUGUACAGUGUCCUUGAGUGUCUAGAAAGGCGCUUUUAAAUAAAAUGUAUUAUUAUUAUUAUUAUUAUUAUUGUUAUUUUUAUUAUCAUUACAGCACUGCAGGGGAAAAGUGCUGAUCUCAAAGGAGAAAAUGGUGCAGUGUUUCCAAAGGUAAAUGUUGACCACCUCAUCAAAGUAACGCAUGAAGAGCCACAUAUACUGCAUAAAAUAUACUCUUCCGUGGUCCCAUCUACACAAACUUAGACACCUGCUGCUGGAUCUGCACCCUAGACACAUCGGCCCUCUGUCAUUCGUUUGGCAAAACCCACAAUGACUGCACCGCCACCUGCACCAGCCUCCUCACCUUCAGCUGCACCAGUCUCAGCACCACCAGCUGCACCAGAGCCUCAAGCUGCAUGUUCUGGGGAAGUUCUUGAAGCAACUCCAAAAUACAAAAAAACUU
rnacentral:lncRNA from 1 species